rnacentral:piRNA from 1 species
UUCUAAACUUAUUUUGCUAAGCUUGC